GCAGCAACCAUGAGUCACUCUGACAGCUUCACCUACAACAUGGUCACCAUGGAGAUGAUUCGUGUCUUUGGGUGUUUCCUCUUGAUUUGUGCAAUCCACAGUGAUCACUUAAACAUGUCUUUUGUGGGAAUCGGUUCUGGUUCUUUCACCGAUUUCGGACAGACACUCUUCCAUGUCCUGACCUGUGUGGAGCGCUACCUGGCUGUGGUUCAUCCCAUCAUCUACCUGAGCCUGAGGAAAGAGAGAGGGAUCAGAAUCAGAAACAUCAGCAUCAGCUGUGUCUGGCUGAUUUGCUUUGUAACAACAGGUCCAGGGGAACAGGGUGGGAGCAGGAAGAGGGUUGACCAAUCAAAGCAGAGGGCGUUCUACAGCAUUAUGGCCAUACUGGGAGUGCUGGUGUUGAGCUUGUUUGUGUGUCAACUGUCUGCUGAGGCUUCAGAUGAAGCUGAUGAGAGCACUGAUCUGAACCAAGCAGGGAAUGAUCUGUAAAGACGAGACAAAACAAAGCUAAGCAAGACUUAACAUGUGGACUGAGCUGCAGAGUUCAGUGACAGUCCUGUCACUUAAUUGUGUUACUGAGAUUGCCAUCAUUAGAAGACUAAUGAAAGAAGUUGUUGUGUGUCCUUCUAACGAUGUUUCUCAGCUGAGAUUGAAAGGACAGGUCACAAUAAAAACAAGAAGACUGAGGUUUUUAGCUUCAUGCUUUGUGUUAACAAUCUUCUGUCUGAUUUGUUUGUUAACCUUCAACUCCCUGAUCCCCACAUACAUCUGUACAUAUUAAAUGCAAUCUUAAUUAUCAAUUG
ensembl:lncRNA